CCCUCCAUGCCUAAAUAAUUAUAGUUAAAAAGAACUAGAAGAAGUAGAUGAUAUAUUUAGAUGAGAUGAUGAGAGUAUUAAAAAUCUCAACAACUUUUACAUACAUUGAUGAUAUGUAUUUUAUAUAGGUUCACGUGUUUAGUAUUGUUUGUUUAGCCUUCUUAAUUGCUUUGUCACAUACUUACAUAAUCUUUUCUACAUAUCUGGCACCCUCAAAUACAUCUAGUGGAACACUGGAAGGACCUUAAGCUUCAUUGAUUAAAAUACAGAAAUGUUAUUUGAUUGAGGUCAUAGAUUUUGGUAUUCCCAGCGAACGACCCGACGACCAUUAGAUCGAAAGCAUCAAUCUUGAUGCAUGUCACCACAUGCGUGUUCGCUUUGAUUUCGAAACCACACGUAGGAACGCAACUAACUUACUUCCUCACCUACUUGUUACCACUCUCUGAUUGUGUCCCAUCCAUCACUAUUUCCUAUUACAAUGUACUCUUUAGUAGUGAUAUUUUGCAUAUUAUUAGUUAAUUUGAAUGUUGCUUCCCCCUAUCAAAAUAAUUGUACUUGGAGAGAACUAAUCUAGUUCUCCCCAACUACAAUCAUAUUGGUACAGAGGAAGUAUUUUUCAUUUCAAGUUGCAUGUAAUACAGAACAUAACAACAAGUAUUUUUUUGGAGCUUCACAAGCGAUGAAAAUUUGACCAUUUUUUAUCGAAGACAAGGCGACAUAUGUGAGAAGAUGGGUAUCACAGGACCAACAGGAUUUUUGCGUCGUCGUUCUGCAGUGCGGAACCGAAGCAGAGCACUUUUUCCCUCCGGCAGGUCGAUAUUGCCGAAGAUUCAUCCUUCCGGUAGAGGGAACUCGAAGCCAUCGUCAUCACAAACAGUCCCAUCAUUAUUGGGAUCAUCAUCUCCAUCAACAUUUUCAUCAACUCCUUCACCACACCACAUAUCUCUAUUCUAUGAACUUCUACCUUAGAUCUUUUGUUGAGAAUAGUUUCUCAUGUUGAUUACUCCUUCGUAUCGAUGCUUAGAAGUUUUCCUCAUGAAAUAUUCAUGUGUUCAGAUUGUUAAUUUUAUAGUCAUUAUCACUGAUCAUGAUUCA